ACACUUCCGGCUAAGUACGGGCGUAAUAAUGGUGAUUAAAACUGUUCACCGUUCCUUUGAGUUCCUCGUAGAUUCUGGAUAUUAGUCCUUUGUUGGAGGUAUAGAUUGUGAAGAUUUUCUCCAAUUCAUCGCCGUUUUUUAGAGUUUUUCUCACUAAAUAUUGACUAACGGAACCUAGCCCUGUAAUGUUGAUAGUCGGGCGGGUCGGAAGUGGCUGAGGUGGAGUAUCUGCAGGAGAAGAACUGAGGCUCCUAAGUGCAGCAUCUUGUCCAAGAGGUUUCGUCCCAAUGCGUGGGGAACAUCCGGAUUGUGAUGUUUAGCUCUCAGUUUCUAACUUGGGCAUUCUAGCAACUGUAUUUCUCAUUUAAUGUUUUAUGGGCACACAUGCAGAGGAGUUUUCGUCACUGAAAAGCCCGACAACUUCCCCUGCCAACCCAUUGGAAUUAAAAAAACCUCGAUAACCUCUUAAACACAUGGAAAUGGAACCCUGAGCAGAGGUAAAAGCCUAGCAGUGAUCACUCUUUUGGCGACUUGGAAAUCGGGGUGAGCUUUUAUCCGUUACCUGUGCCCUGUUGUUAGGGGUCGACUGCUGCUGUUCUUCCUUGGAAACUGGCUCCACUGCAUUUCGGGGCUGGGAUGUUGUUAAAGCAUUCACAGCCCUCAGAGCACAUGACGAGGGAGUUGGGAAAUGAAGCAAGCAGGACCUUCCACUUUGUAGCAGACUUAUUUCUGGAGAAACUGAUGGUUGGGGCCACAAAACGCUUUCAGUGUAGGCUCAUCAUGACUCAUUUGGACAUCCUAUUUUCUCUCCUUAUGUAUGAGAUUGUGGUGGGUAUCUGUACAGCCUAAGGACCUUGGGUGGACCUGGCCAGCAAUGGGACUGUUACUGAUGAUGCAUCACAUGGUGUCACUAGGAAAAGCAUAGAUCAGCUGAGGAUCAAUCUUCCCACCAGGUGUGUGUGAAAAUGUAGGUUAUGUGCUUCCUUCAGCCCCAAACCUGUUGUCCACACCAGAAUCUGGAAAUAAUCUCAUUGGAAUUGGGAGAAUGAUUGAUGAUACUCAGUGCACUAUAAGCUGAAACUAGAUGAAGUUUUUAUGAGCAAGUGCCUGAUGUAUGAGCUGCACAGAAAGUUCACCAAACCACCCAAAGCCAUUGCCAUAGGCAUCUGAACUGCAAGCCAGCACAAGAAGUCGAUGCUUUCAUACACUUUCCAAGAUGUCAGAACAAGGUUCCAAAUCAUAAUAAGAAUUCACUCCUUACCUAGAAGUAAAAAAAGAGGACACACUUUUGAACCGCUCACAUGACCACACCAUUCUGCGGGGACGUCCUUGUGUUGAGGGGAGGUCUGAAGUCCAUGGAAGAAGACGCAGUGGCUGCUGGAGCUCGUGCAGAGGAAGGGACCCUCAGAAGGACAGGUGAACUGUCGGUGGCAGGAAAAAUGGUGGGCACAUUUCCAGAAUGACAAAUGGGAGAAGCAAUCGUGACAUCUCCAGGUGGGGGAAGCAUAGGAGGAAGAGGUUGUUCUCUCAGGAAGUUGCCUCCUAGCCUCCAACGAGGCCUUUCCUAUCACUGCUCAUUCUCUUCUGUGUGUGGAUUGGAUACUGCGGUCACCCAGAGAAGCUGGUGCACACCAGGCACAUGAAGGGGCGAUCCUUGUCUCCUUCCGACUCAUGCGCGUGUCUUGAUGUUUAAACUCAGAAGGAUGUUUAAACUCGGUUGUCUAUGAGACAAAAUGGCUAGUUUUUGGAGGGUCUGGGGCAUUACAUUCUGCAGAUUAAGAUUUUUGCCCGAUAUUGGCCAAGUCAAGGAAAUAGAUGCUAAGGCCAAAUGCUUUGAAAAACCACAAACUCCUGUUUCUGUGGGAAAUGUUUGGCCUGUUGAAUCAAACUCAAUAAAGAACAGUAAAAUCUGUUAUUUCAAAAAUUUUUGCUUUUGUAGCUGGUUAGUUGCCUUUCUUUGGAAAACCCUGUACAAUUCCUACAUGAAAUGUAUUCCUAUUGGAAAGAGGUUUUGCCACAAUGAAUUUCAAACUCUAUACAACAAAUUGGUUUAUUCUACAGGAAUUUCAAUAAAAAAGGUUUUUUUGUCCCUUCGAAAGCUAUAAGUGUG
rnacentral:lncRNA from 1 species